rnacentral:lncRNA from 1 species
GGACGUAUAGGUCAAGGGAAUAAUAAUAUGAAGCUAAGUUUACACCACGCAACUAGCAUAUAUACAGGGUGACCUCUUUGAAAUGGUCAAAAAUGCUAGAGUAAAUACAGGAGCCACAAAGAAGUAGUUUGAGAUAGGAUACCGGUGGUCGAAUGGAAACCCUUGGACGGAUUUGCAGCACACACUAAAAAGAUGUUUGAAGGAUAUUUUGAGAAUGGAAUGAGCCCUGCCGAAGCAAGAAGAUACCAUGAAAGUUUGUUAUUAUUGGAUGAAAAAGGUUGGAAAAAAUGGCAGAUGCCUCUCUAAAUCCUACUAAAAAUGCACUUUAUUACCUUCAUAAAAAAUGGACUUUAAGGCAUUUUGGACAGGUAUUUGAGCCAAUAUUAAAACAUUAAGAAAAAAAAAGUUUUAUCAUCAAUCAGGAAUAAAUAUUGAAAUUGCAACAGACCCAUGAGCAGUAUUGGUAGUUACGCCAAUCAUGAAAAGAGCACAGGAACUGCAGUCCUCCAAGGAACUGAUAUUUUGCGACAGUACAUCAAGUUGUGACACCAGCGAGACCACAGUUACUGUGUUACUAACAGCUACAAAAGCUGGUGCCAUUCCCAUUGCGAUACUUUUGCAUGAUGGGCAAACUUUUGAAAGUUAUGAACAAGCCUAUGGAUUGCUAAAGCAGACAUUUCCAAACUCUUUUGGAGGGAAUUUUCUAAUUAUUUCCACUAAAAAAAACAACACAAAUGAAUCUUUUGAGCCUAUAUGUUUUAUGACAGACGACUCCAAAGCUGAAAAGACAGCUCUUAAAAAUACAUUUCCAAAUUCUACUCAGCUACUGUGUUUUUUCAUGUGCUUCAAAAAGAAUGGCGAUGGCUUUCUGAAAACAAAAAUAAGAUUUCCAUGGAAAAGCGUCAAAUCUUAAUGCAUUCAUUUCGUAAGAUUAUGUAUUCUGAAAGUAAUGAAGAUCUAAAUGAACACAUGUUAAAGCUGCAGCAAGAAGCGGAGGAUUGUCCAAAUUUUUGGGCAAGAUUUGAAAUUUAUUUUUCUAGAGGACAAGAGUGGUUGUAUCUUCAUAGGAAACAUUUGGUCAUAAGAGGGAAUAAUACAAACAAUUACGCAGAAGUAACCAUCAGAAUACUUAAGGACAUUAUUCUUCAUCGUACAAAAGGUUAAAAUUGUGUGGCAUUAGUUGAUUUCAUUGGUUUUGUUUGGGAGGAGUAUUUUAAAUGAUUCUAUUUAAUGAUCUAUUAGAUUUUGCCCAUGGAAGAAGAAACGAAAUAAAAAAUAAUUACUUAAAGCUAUGUUCAAAAGUAAAUGAUUUUAAACCGGGAUAUAUUGUAACUUUGGGAGAUGGAUUGUAUCAAAUUUUAAUUAUAGUAGUAGUUCUAAUAUCUUUUUAAAAUACUUUAUUGACGUGCCAAUUGUCUUGCAGGCAUAAAUGGGUCAUUUUGUAAGCACCAAGCUUACCUACAUAAACAUUUAAAUAUUCCAUUUUUGAAUGCCCCUGCUAUUAAUUUUCAAGAAAGAGCAUCACUUGGGUGGCUAGCUCUUGGCGAGAAAUGCCCUGAAUCCAAAUGGUUUUUGGCCCUAAGUGAGUUUUCAGAAAAUGCAGAUAAUAUACAAGAUUGUGGUUAUCAAGAAAACCAUCUGGACUAGAAUCGAUGCACCAUCUUCAUUAUUUGAUGAGACAAUAAUGGAGAUUGAUGACACGGUGGAAGAUGACAACAAAAAGGAAGAUGUAAUUGAAGGAAUUAAAGAAGAAUGUAAAAAAUUUGAUAAAAUGCUUAAGGAAAUACCUUUAAAAGCAUUAAAAAGACUUGCAAAUAAACUAAAAAGAAUACAAACUGCGCCGCAGCUAUAUUCUUUCAUAGACAGUAAAGUUUCUAGGGUCAAACGCAACUCAAAAAUAAAAGUCCAGCCAACAACUGCUUCUCGAAGACGGCCUGGAGCCACUCGUGCAAGUUGAAUAAUCCCUUCAGGAAGACCACCUUGUGGCAAACGUAGUAGCCAAAGUGCUGUCAGAGGUAGUGGAAAACGAAAACAUAACAUAAGUUUAAAUAUAUCUUUAAAUCAACGAAACGCAAUUAUUCAUGGUCCCGCGUAUUAAAUACAUAAUAUGUACAAAAGUAAUAAAAAAUAUUGUUUAGAUUUUUUAUUAAAUUUUUAUUUUUAA